rnacentral:rRNA from 1 species
GACGAACGCUGGCGGCGUGCCUAAUACAUGCAAGUUGAGCGCUGAAGGUUGGUACUUGUACCAACUGGAUGAGCAGCGAACGGGUGAGUAACGCGUGGGGAAUCUGCCUUUGAGCGGGGGACAACAUUUGGAAGCGAAUGCUAAUACCGCAUAAAAACUUUAAACACAAGUUUUAAGUUUGAAAGAUGCAAUUGCAUCACUCAAAGAUGAUCCCGCGUUGUAUUAGCUAGUUGGUGAGGUAAAGGCUCACCAAGGCGAUGAUACAUAGCCGACCUGAGAGGGUGAUCGGCCACAUUGGGACUGAGACACGGCCAAAACUCCUACGGGAGGCAGCAGUAGGGAAUCUUCGGCAAUGGACGAAAGUCUGACCGAGCAACGCCGCGUGAGUGAAGAAGGUUUUCGGAUCGUAAAACUCUGUUGGUAGAGAAGAACGUUGGUGAGAGUGGAAAGCUCAUCAAGUGACGGUAACUACCCAGAAAGGGACGGCUAACUACGUG